rnacentral:rRNA from 1 species
CAGAGACUGCAAGCGUUAUUCGGAUUCACUGGGCGUAAAGGGUGCGCAGGCGGUUGGGUGUGUCAGAUGUGAAAUCCCGAGGCUUAACCUCGGAACUGCGCCUGAAACUACUCGACUAGAGUACUGGAGAGGGUAACGGAAUUCACGGUGUAGCAGUGAAAUGCGUAGAUAUCGUGAGGAACACCAGAGGCGAAGGCGGUUACCUGGACAGUUACCGACGCUCAGGCACGAAAGCAUGGGGAGCAAAAGGGAUUAGAUACCCCUGUAGUCCAUGCCCUAAACGGUGCACACUAGGUCUUAGCGGAUUCGACCCCACUAGGGCCCAAGCUAACGCGUUAAGUGUGCCGCCUGAGGACUACGGUCGCAAGACUA